GCUCCAUAAUAUAGUUUAGUCUUUCAUAUAUCAAUUAUCCUUAAAUAGAAUGAAAUGAUGAAGAAAUGAAAACUCUUGAAGGAAAAAAAAAGAAUAAUUGAAGGUGUUCUUGUUGCAUUUUGAUUGGUCUAUCUAUCCUUGCAAAAUUCUGUUCUACAUCAUCCAUUUCUUCUUUUGAUUUUGUCGAGGAUGAUGUCUUCCAUGAAUUCCGCUUACUCCAACUUGAUCCAAUUUGUUUCUUGCAAUCUUGC